rnacentral:tRNA from 1 species
CGGAGAUUCGGCAAGCGGUAUGCCACCUCAUUUGGGAUGAGGGUGUCACAGGUUCGAUCCCUGUAUCUCCGACCA